GCUGUCAGAGCAAUCUUUUAAAAAUGCAGCUAUUAUUCUACAGCUCCCUGCUUUAAAUGCUCCAUAUUGUUCUUGGGAUAAAGAUCAAAUUCCUGAGUGUAGCUUAUGGAGCUCGGCUUAUUCUGGCCUCCAUGUGCUUCUCCAGACCGUCAUUCCACCCUUUCCCUAGGGAACUGGCUUGGAGGUUGCCAGUCCCCAUUUUGUUUCCCCUCCAGGGCUUUGUACAUGCUCCUUGUUCUACUCUCCAUGCUCUAAAUAUUUUCUGCUCAUCUAUGAUCUCUGCCUAAAGUUCUCUUCUUUGAAAGAUCUUUCUUAUUCCCAUGAAUGAAAUCUACAUCUCCAACCAAUUUGACCUUCAGUUUUGGAAAUACCCAUCAUGCCUGUAAUGUUUGCUCACUUCUCAUCUCUUCCCCACAGACUGCUAUCUAAGGCCCACCUGCUACUGCAGCUUAGAAAGAAGCCUUCCUGAGAAAGUGCUUCUCUCAAGGAUAAGUGGCAAGCAAGGACAGUGUGUGGCUGCAGUAUGAGGUCAUGAGGACAACUGGGAAGUGAGAAGGAGCAGGAGAUUCCAGACAGGAGAUAUUGGAAACUAUCAAGUUACAAAUUCUAAACGCUAAGCUUUUGAUGAAUUAUCAUUUCCCUUAAUUUUUCUCAUAGAUUUAACUUCACAUCUUGAGAAUUUUUAAUACUUUGGGGAUUUUAAAAAUAUAUCAGGUGUAAAUACUUAAAUAUGCCUACUUGUUCUACUGCCAGAGUGUAAAAUUGGCACAGUAUGUCUAAGAGGAAAGUUUUAAUAAGUAUAAAAAAUUUUGUUUUUAUGCUUCUACUUAUGGAUUCGACCUGUGAAAUUCUAUCCUAUGGAAGCAUAAGUUUUUAGAAGCUCUUAGGACAUAAGAAAAAAUCUGCUGUGCAUUGAAAGAUAGAGGUCACAAAAUGAUAUGAUUCUUAAUUAUAUAACACAAGCAAACCUUCACAAGUAUAGAUAUGUGUUUGUAACUGUACAGUAAAAUCACCUCAAAUCGUUCUUCCCUUGGCAAUGGUUUUAGUGGAACAGAAAAGACAUAACCAAACAUUAACUGUCACCUUGUCAUACCCCCUUCUGCCACCUCACACCACAUACACCAUCCCUGCAGUUUUCUAAAACUGACUUGAGUUCCACAAGUUCUCAUUGUUGAGAGAAAGCAACCACUAUGGUUCAAUCCUUCUAGUUAGGGAUUUUAGGUUAGAAGUGAUUAUUUAGUCAAGGGCCAAGCCAUUUCCUGGGUGACAUUAUCUUAGCCUCUAAAAAGGUAAUUAGGAUCAUAGUAUUUAAGGUGUACACCACUAUCCUUUGGUGUGCAAAUAUUUAGUGAGCUGAUUAAUAGCAUCAAAGUAAUUAACAGAUCUAUCCCGUCAGUUAUUUUUCUGUUGUAUCUGAUGAAAACAUUCACAGUAUAUUGUUCUUAGCAAAUUCUGAGCACACAAUCUGAUGUUAUCUAUAGUCCCCAAGCUCUACACUAGGUCUCCAGGACUUACUCAUCCUAUAGGCUGAACUGAAAUUUUGUAGACUCCGGCAAACAUUACUCAGCUAUCUCACCAUCUUCAAUGUCUCACUGGCUUCCAUGUCUGCUCCAGAGGUAGGCAACUAACUUCUUUUGAUGCAGUCAAGAGAAGCACAGGCUUUUAUUCAAUGUUUGGAUGGGACAUAUCCAUCUUCUCCAGACACCAGUGUAUUAUCACGUGGUCCAGGUACCACAACCAGCAACCAUAUAGUUGGAGAAGACUGGAGGAUAUUUUGUGACCACAGCAGAAGCCAGCAUUAUAAGGAACAUACAGAAGGCAGAACAGAGGGGUGGAAUGAGACCUGUGUCUGGUGAUAUUUGUAGCUUAUUUGUGUAGAUGGGCAGAUGCAUGGGCCAUCUGAGGUCUGCCUUCAUCCUGGGAUGGUUUGUACAUAAUGCAAACAAUUUAAGGUAGACAACAUUGAGGCUGCUAUCAUGCAAAAGCAAAACAAAUACAGCAAAUGAAUUGAUUUGAAUUUUAUUUUUUGUGAAUUACAGUAUUUUAAAAAGAUGUAUUAUGAAGACACAUUGCUUAUAUAAUUGGAGAAUAUCAUUUAUUUUAAAAUUGCCAUUAACCAAAAGUUGCUGAAGAUCCUUUAAGCUACAGUGCCUUCACUCCUUACCAUCCUGCUUCUCCCCUACUUCCUUCAAGCCUCUUCCUGAAAUUCCCACAAGAGCCAGAGAAGCCAACAAAAUGUCAAAAUUUUGUCACUCCAUUAAUUAGGAGACUUGAAUUGGGUGAGGCACAACCUACAUUCUGUGAAAUUGAUUGGCAAGUGACUGGCAGAGCCACCCUGUAGCUAACAGGGCAGUGACAGAGAUGGGAUUGAUUACUGUUUGUCAUUAUGUGACUCAGUCUCGUGGCACGGACUCAGGGGAGGAUACACAGACACAUUGACUCUGAUUCGAGAAGCCAGCAACAACAGGACCCUUGAUGGCUGGGUAGUGUGGGCUAGUGGAGGAAGUGCAUAUCCUCAAAGUUAUAAGUAAACGUAAACAUGGUUCUAAAUUGUUUAGAAGAUGUGAUGGAGAGAAAUGGGGGUGAGCCUGUCCAAGUAUGGACACUUUCUGAGGGAGGAUGUUCUUAGACAAAAGGUUAAUGGCAAGAGAGAAGGAAUUCUACUGAGAAAGUGAUUUAGAAACAGAGUGGAGGGAAAGAGACCUGUGGCCAAACACCAAACACAGUUAAGCUGUCAUAUACACAGCAGUGGCUAGCACUUCCUGCAGAAGGGUGCUGAGAGCAAAAUGGGACUGAUAGCACUUAUCCACACCAGACUGUUGUCUGCAUCUAGACUGUAGUUGCUGCAGGGCUCCAGGUAGCUAGAUUUAAGGUCUUCAGCUAGACUCACAUCUCUACCAUUGACUUUUCUCUUGCAUGAAAGUGAUGAGAGAUGGAUCAGGAUCCCCUUGGAAUGCAGCCAGUCAGCUGUCACACUUUUCAGAUCUACAGUUGGUCCAUCUACCUGCUCAUCUGCACAUAUCAGCCAAGGAGGGUCUUGUUGUGGGGAAGGCAUCUUCCCAGAGUGGUUCUUAGGGCUUUUGAAGUGAGUUUGUUCUUCCUACAGCUGCUCUGCAGAGGGAUAAAAACCUGGAUUUUAAAGAAGCAAAUGGUCUCUUUUUUUCUUUUUAAACAAAAUUAACUCACAGCUGCAAGCAGCACAAUGAAAGCACAUUUAAAAAUAAUCAGAUGCUUUUUGAGCUCUGUCUUCUGCCUGAACAACUUCAGUCCCAGCCUCUGUGGGUUGGGAUUUAAGGCUGCAGCCUUAGACUCCAAAACAUCCAGGAAUGAAGCAACACCUAGAGCUGUGGCCUCAGAAGAAAGGUGGGCAGUUCUGUGAUGUGGAAGACCCCCAAAACCUUGGCUGUAUUUGUUCUUUUCUAAUCAGGGUGCAUAAAAUAUUUUUGAAUGUCAUUUGGCAGCUGAUAGUUUGCUUUGAAAUUGCCAUUUUAUCAAAUACAUUAAAAAAUGCCCAGUGAUCUUUUUA